AAUCAAUAAAAUAUAUUUUAAAAUACAAAAACAAAAAACACUUAAGCAACCUGCUGAUUGGCUGAGUGUACAGUAGCUAUAAUGUGCAAUGACCACUAGGGGGUGAGGUUCAACACAGGCAGCUCCCGAGCUCCUGGAACCAGAGAGGAAAGAGCCAGAUUCUGGAUUGCGACAACCCUCACACAAUUGGGGAUCUCUUUGGGUAUGUCAGAGAGCCAGAUUUGGUCCAGUCUGCGCAGGCCAGGUAGAGGGACCCCAUCUGUGCACAAAUCUGUGCACCGGGCCUCUAGUGUAACAAUAUUUACUUCUCUGAGAGGCACUGGUGUCAGGAAGAGCCAUUCUAUGCUGCAUCUUUAAUGUUGAAUUGUGAACAAUUAUAAAGCUUACACCCAAAGUCAAGGGAAGUGAAGGAGUGACUGGCAGUUUUGAGGAUAUUCUUGGCUGGCUGGGCAAAGACUGAGAAAACAAACUCGAAGCCAAUGUACACAAAGCUUUAUGCUUCUGGCCAUCUCCUUUAUAUAAGAGGGUUCAAAGCCAAUCUAAUCCUAUUUCACCUCAGCAUUCACGUUUCAUG